CGCCUAAGUUAUUGUUUUGAUUCUUCCACUCUUUUACUAACCAAAAUAAAAAUUCUUUAACAAUGAUCUACGUUCAGCUUAAUAUAAAUUCUGACUGUAAAGAAAAUCUUUAUUAUCAAUUAAUUUGUAAAGUUGAUGACGUAAAAUAUUAUUAAAAUUAGAAUCAUUAAUUGCAGUUUUGAAAUAUUAUAUUAAAACGAAGAACAGAUCAACACGUCAUAAAUGGAAAGAUACAUUUCAGCUUGCAGGAGGGAAGAAAAAGACGAGGAAGUGGAAAUGUAUUUUCAUGAAACGAUACAAAAAUGGAAUCUCCUGAAAUUAACAUAUGACUAUUGUAGUUCUACAAUAUAAAUGAGAAAAAUUAUUAUUCUUAAAUAAUCGUUCUAUAAGGAACACUAUAUCAUCGAACGUUCCUAAAAUAUAUAUAGUUAAAAAUUAAAUGAGACAACAAAUCAUCCAGGAAAACUCGGAAUUAUCUACAAAUGAAAAUAAGCUUAUCUCUAAAAACAGUGAAAAAGAAAACGAAGAUGGUAAUGACGAUAAUGAAAACGUGAUGUUGAAAUCAAUACUUUAGUUAGCCAAGACAAAGAAGAAAGAAUGGACAUGAAAUUAAAUGAUGAAAAUACUGUAUAUAUUUAGAAGAUAAGGAUGAAACGACAGAUGCACAUUUGUUUGACAUACGAAGACAUAUUGAAUUUUCAUAAUAUAGACCAAACUAUAUAAUUCGAUAGAUAUGCAACAUUGGAGAAUUAUGGUUAUGCUAAUCUAAUUGAUACUUUCAAGAUUUUAACUUAGAUUAUAAUCGAGCGAUUACAAAUAGAUAUUCAUUCAUAAAAUUCAUAAAACUACUGAAUAAAAUUGUCAAAAAUUAAAUUCUCAUCGCAUAGAUCUCGAAAUAAGUUAAAAGUCAUAUUGUUUACUCAGAUAACGAGGAACUAUAUAAAAAGAGUAAUAUUUUGCCUUUUACUUGACUAAUGAAAUGAUUAAGAAAAACUAUAGCUAUAGAAAUAAUUAAGGCACUUAAUUUGUUAUCAUCCCAGUUAAUAUUAAUUAGAAUCUCUAUUCUAUAUAUACACAUUUAUUAUGUUCAGAGAGAUACAAUAUUCAAAUGAGCCACUGAUAUAAUGGUUACUAUAUAAAUGGGAAAAUUAAAUGAAAUACUUUUUAAUGUAAAGUCUCUUUUAAUACAGGAAACGUCCACGAUUAUAGAAUCAUCUACUUUUGGAAGAAUUGACAAAGGAGAUAACUUCUGUGACAAAGAAAUAAACGUGUAAGGAAGAAAUUACGAAAUUCUAUUGUAAAACAAAACUGCAACAAGAAAAGACAUAUAAGCUGCAGUUUGUGGGAGAAUUGAAAUUAGUAGUAAUGGAAGGAACCUAGAAUUAUGCAACAAAGGAAGAAAAUAAACAAGAAGAGAAACGCUUAGUAAACAUCUUCAGUUAUAUGCACAUGCACUUCUGCUGACACGCUCAUCCAAAUUACGAUAAAUUCAUGGUGCUGAUGUGAUAUUGUCGCAUCUUGAUAUAUCUCACACUUUCCCUCUGUGUUUCCACUGUGCAAUUGCUUCUUUUAAAGGAAUAGUGUUUUAUCGCUGAAGAUGAAGAAGAAGGAAAAGGCAGUCAGUUUUAAUUCAAUUGUCAACACUCUUAAUUAGAGAAUGUCUGAAAUGAAUCAUUCCAAUCGAUUCAUAACCCUGUAAAUCUAUUAAUAUGUACAUAUUUGUGUCAUAUUUAAUCUAUUUUUACUCCUUAGACUAUAUUAAUUGCUAACGAUUGAUCUACACUAUUUCUUACAAAUAUGUAGGAAGAGAAAUAAACUAUGAGAAUGUUUGGAUUGUCAGAAAACAAGGAACUGUACUGGGAGAAGCCUACUUUCAGGGGCAAUGUGUAAUAUUUGUACUGGCUUUAUGUAGAAAAAAAUCGCAAUAUUAUUUGUAUUAAUAUUAUUACAAUAUAGGAAUCAUAACUUAUAUUUAAAAAACAAUGAAUAUUUUGGAUACGAAGCAACAAUGAAGAUUUUGUAUCGAUAAAGUGAAAAAAUUUUUAUAUACACAUAUUAAAUAUAUAAAAGGGUUAAACUUUGAAA